UUUUCUUUGUGUCAAGCUCUU
rnacentral:piRNA from 1 species